UUCCCCUGGUCUCUUUUGAUGAUUACCCCCAGGAAAUAUCUGAGUAUCUACAUGUCACACACACAAGAGAAGGCGGGUGCAAUGUGACAGACGUCGACGGGGCGGAGUACGCUAUCCAGCUGCUUGGGAACGACAGUGUCACACAGUUCCACCUUCCGAUACACAAACAAAUGGCCAUGGGUUCUGUUGUAGUGGAGCAUCGUGCAGUGGAGCUAAUUUGCACAACGGAAGUCAGUCUCACUGUCAUGUUGCGAACGCUGGACGGGGGUGUAGCCGAUGCAUUUCCGGUCCUUCCAUUGGCGUCUCUGUCAACCAAGUAUAUCAUACCAUCAGUGCCAAACAACGCUUUGCUCGGAGUGAUGUCUGUCCACAACAACACAAAUGUCACAUCUUAACUCCACCUGUUCAUACCCCUUCAGGGGUGACGAUUACGGGCAGGGAAGCAAGUUAAAUAUUGCUCCGCAACAGGGAGAGUUAUUCCAGUUCACUUCAAACACAAGUAGUACUCUCAAUGUAUGUGAUCUGGGAGGGACCGUUGUAGAGAGCAGUCAUUCAGUUGCAGUGUUUUCAGGCUCUCCUAUGUUGUGCUAUCCUGGGAAUAGAUGUGAUGGAGCUAUGAGUCAAGUUCCCCAAUAGAAACACUGGGGACGUCGUUCAUUGUGCCCCUGGUUCCUGGAAUUGAUCAAUACAGCAUUCGAAUUACAGCAGUGUAUAAUGGUACCAAAAUCACCAUUGACACAUUCACAAGUGUUGAGUCUAUCAUCUUGAAUGAAGCGGAGGUUUACGAUAACUCCUUCAAUAAAACAUUUGCUGUAUACAUCAGAAGCUCUCAUCCAGUACUUGUGUUACAAAUAGCCGGCAGUACUGAUUACCAGGUGCUUACUUCGAUCGUUCGACCAACUGAUGCCUAUGGCACUGACUAUGUAAUACCCGACAUCCAGGGCGGUUCCAAGACGUUCACAACUAUCACACUAUCAUCACAACCUCAAAGUGUACAUCACAUAUAAACAUAAGCUUAAAAUGGUCAAUUCAGUCAACAGACUCCAACACAUUCGCCAUAGCCAACUUCUAUCCUCGCUCCGGUUCCCUCGCCAUUAAAAGUAAUUCCUCAGUCUGUCCUUUUGGCGUACUCGUCACUGGUGUAGCAGACAACGAGAUGUAUGGGUAUUUUAGCGCCCCAGCGCCCCAGCGCCAGAUGGUGCUUGCGUUUAUAUGAGUGAAUGAGAUUAGUUUGGACCAGGGAUCAGCAGCAUGAACAUCGAUCUACGCAACUGGGAUACGAUGACAUGUUUCAACCCAGUAAGCUAGCCUGACUACCCGAUCCCAUUAGGCGCCUCUUACGACAAGCAUUGGUUAUUGAAGAUCAAUUCUAACCCGGAUCCUCACGGGUCUGCGUUUAUAUGAACAGCUAAGAAGAUGGCAAAAGCAGUCACGUAAAGAGAGGGGUUCACAAUCACCCAGCUAGAUGCCAAGAGCAACUGAAAACUGUGUAAACAUCGGAAACAGUCUGCACCCAUAUGUUUUACCCAUGGGGUAAUUAGAAUGAUUUGAAAGACCAGUAUCUCUGGAACACUCAGUUAACCUAACUUGCUCUCAAGACAACUGAAUACUCAAGACAUCGCCA